rnacentral:tRNA from 1 species
AAGUAAGAAGCAAAAUAUUGCAGUUAGUUUCGACCUAAAAAUUUGAUUUAAUAAUCCUUACUUA